rnacentral:rRNA from 1 species
GGCCGAGUUGUAAUUUGCAGAGGAUGCUUUGGAGAUUGAUCUGUCCUAAGUCCUUUGGAACAGGGCGCCAAGGAGGGUGAAAGUCCCGUAUUUUCAGAUUCAAGAUCCGUGUAAAGCUCCUUCGAAGAGUCGAGUUGUUUGGGAAUGCAGCUCAAAAUGGGAGGUAAAUUUCUUCCAAAGCUAAAUAUCAGCUAGAGACCGAUAGCGCACAAGUAGAGUGAUCGAAAGAUGAAAAGCACCUUGAAAAGGGAGUUAAAAAGCAUGUGAAAUUGUUGAAAGGGAAGCUCAUGCAGUCAGACUUGAUUCGAUGGCUCAGCCUUUUGGUGUAUUCCAUUGAAUCAGGCUAGCAUCAGUUUGUUUAGCUGGAUAAAAGUUUCGGGAAUGUAGCUCCUCGGAGUGUUAUAGUCCGAUACAGAAUGCAGCUCUCACAGACUGAGGUCCGCUUAUAGGAUGCU